rnacentral:rRNA from 1 species
GAUGAACGCUGGCGGCGUGCUUAACACAUGCAAGUCGAACGAAGCACUUCUGAUUGAUUCUUCGGAAGAUUGAUUUAGUGACUGAGUGGCGGACGGGUGAGUAACGCGUGGGUAACCUGCCUCAUACAGGGGGAUAACAGUUAGAAACGACUGCUAAUACCGCAUAAGCGCACAGUACCGCAUGGUACGGUGUGAAAAACUCCGGUGGUAUGAGAUGGACCCGCGUCUGAUUAGCUAGUUGGUAGGGUAACGGCCUACCAAGGCGACGAUCAGUAGCCGGCCUGAGAGGGUGAACGACCACAUUUGGACUGAGACACGGCCCAAACUCCUACGGGAGGCAGCAGUGGGGAAUAUUGCACAAUGGGGGAAACCCUGAUGCAGCGACGCCGCGUGAGUGAUGAAGUAUUUCGGUAUGUAAAGCUCUAUCAGCAGGGAAGAAAAUGACGGUACCUGACUAAGAAGCACCGGCUAAAUACGUGCCAGCCGCCGCCGUAACAC